rnacentral:rRNA from 1 species
AGAGUUUGAUCAUGGCUCAGGAUGAACGCUAGCUACAGGCUUAACACAUGCAAGUCGAGGGGCAGCAUGUUGGUUGCUUGCAACCAAUGAUGGCGACCGGCGCACGGGUGAGUAACGCGUAUCCAACCUACCCUUGUCCAUCGGAUAGCCCGUCGAAAGGCGGCCUAACACGAUAUGCGGUUCACAGCAGGCAUCUAACGUGAACGAAAUGUGAAGGAGAAGGAUGGGGAUGCGUCUGAUUAGCUUGUUGGCGGGUAACGCCACAAGGCUACGAUCAGUAGGGGUUCUGAGAGGAAGGUCCCCCANAUUGGAACUGAGACACGGUCCAAAUCCUACGGGAGCA